GAUUAUGCCGGGCGUGCAAUGGCACGUCUGGAUGCUUCCGGGGAAAUAAGUAUGCCUGCCGACAUGGGAAUGGGAAUGAUGAAAAGACGGAAAGCUAUGAAGCUGCUGGUGGCACGCGUCGCCUUGCUUGAUUCUCCUUGGACAGGGGUACUUGACCGACGAUACUUCCAGCGCAAACCAUUCUCUUCUCCCGGAUCGAUUCCUCGGCUUUCCCCUCCCCUCCCUUCCCUUCCUUUCCAUAAUCCCUCCAUUUAACCCCAUCCGCUUGCCUCGCUCUGCCUGCCUCAUCCUCGUGCUUAAGCUUCUCGCCAUCAGCUGGAGAGACAUCUCGAGCAGAGCAACAGGAGGAGCCACAGCUUCAGCCUUGUGGUCGCACAUAUACAGUAGGCGGCGCGCGGCAAGAUGCAGAUGGUACUGGUGAUCUCGCUGCCCCUGGUGGCGCUGGUGGUGAUCAUCGCCAUCAUCCUCUGCAUCGUCUGCCGUUGACCAGCCAGGCAGCUAGCUCGCGCGCGGCUUGCCGGAUGUAGCACCAUGUAGCCUCCUAGUCGGUGUUGUUGCCGCGCCCGUCUCAUGCUGUCGUGGUGUGUUUUGUCUGCAGCCCUGCUCGGUGUGUGUGAUCUUUUCUCCUGCUAGCUUCUCGAUGUGAAAUGUACUAUUGAUUGAUCCAUGUGUCUGGUCGUGUGUGUGAGUGUGUUAGUACAGUACAUACUACUACCAGUCUACCAUGUAAUGUAAGCUCUUGACUUGUCUCAAAAAAAAAAAAAGUAAGCUCCUGAUGAUUCUUCAGAUAUUGGUGAAAAGCAGAGUGUGAUCCUGCUCCCGCCUUUUUCCUUGUCAUACUUCGUGAGAAUGUGUGUGUUAUAUGUCGAAAGACGUUUGCCUCAUAAACUGAACCAGCCUUCUUUCCUCUCAUCAAUGAAUUUGACAGAAUAACUACUACCAACAUUCGAAAAAAAAAAGCAGAGUGUGAUCGCCGCGUCUGUCUGUCGUCUGCGCUCACGCCUGGUCGCUCGUCCAACCAGGCGCACGCACGUGGUUCGCCGUCCACCAGACGCAGACGUCUCUCUGACAUCUGGGCCCGGGCAUGGUGCCGGAGCCCUCGGUUCACACUUGGGAGCCGCACGUCACGCGUUUUUCCGCUUCUACUUUCUUCUCCAUCCCACUGCACUCUUCUUCUCUGCCUGAUUAGUGAUUAGUUUAGCCCACGCACCACCAGUUGCCCCAUCGCCAAGCUCCAUUUGCUCUGCUCCUCCCCUCCGUCUCCCUCCAAAGCUAUCGUCUCCAGCAGAUCGAGGAGGCCAGGAGCACCAACAAGAUCAGCGGCUCGACUGUGCUAGGCAGGUAAGCGGCGGAUGGAGUUCGUGCUGAUCAUAUCCCUGCCGCUCCUCAUCCUGAUCCUCAUCAUCGCGGUCGUCCUCUGCAUCGUCUGCCGCUAGGCACAUGCGGACGCCGAAGCGCUCAGUCUGCGCUGACUGUGAUCACACCAUAUGUUGUGUUAAUCAACCCAAUAUUAAUUACACCAUGACUCGAUAGAGAAAAAGAAAGCUCUUCUCCUCCACCAUUUCUACUUUUCUGUUCUGUCACUGUGGUGUGAUUAGCUGGCUCUAAACUUUAUUGGCUUUCGUGGUGGCAACAAAAGCAUCAAUCCCGGGUGUCGAUGCUCAACGCAUAUGAUAUAUGUGGCUGUAAAAAAUAGCAAAUUCCCUUCCUGCUCCGAUUGAUUCGGGGAGGUUGGAUAUCUGAAAGUCUCAUCUUAUUUUUUUA